UUCGUCAAACUCAUCGAUAGUGGAACGGGCAGCAGGGUGACGAAGUAAUGAUUUUGAGAAAAAGAUAACUAAUGGUUUACGGAAUUGCCGGUGAAUGUUACGCCUAAGAGCAUGGAAAUACUGCGAUGGCUUAGUAACAUAAAUGGCUUGAAUAUUACAAUCUUGAUGUUGACGUUGCAACUUCUCUUCGGAAGGGAACUCUCGAGGGUCUUCAUUACAUAAUUGUAAAUAUCUUUCCAUACGAGCAGAAGAGUGCUCAGGACCUUGACCAUCAUAACCAUGUGGUAAAGAAAGUACGAUACCGGUACGUUGAAGCCACUUAGUUUCACCAGCUGCAAUAAAUUGAUCUAUGAUACAUUGAGCAUUGUUAGCAAAAUCACCAAAUUGAGCUUCCCAGACGACAAGAGCAUUAGGUGAUGACAAAGAGUAACCAUACUCAAAACCUAAAACACCAUAUUCAGACAGAGAAGAGUUACGAAUAACAAAGCUUGCUUGAUUAGGGCUUAGAUGAUUCAAUGGAAUGUAAACGUUUUCGGAACUCUGAUCGUGUAAAACAGCGUGUCUUUGGGAAAAUGUGCCACGUUCGACAUCUUGACCGCUCACACGAACGUGAUGACCUUCUUCUAAAAGAGUACCAAAGGCCAAUGCCUCGGCGGUU